rnacentral:rRNA from 1 species
GUGUGUACUGUCUGACUGAGUCUUACCUCUUGGUGAACCGGCGUGCCCUUUAUUGGUGUGCGUCGGGGAACCAGGACUUUUACCUUGAGAAAAUUAGAGUGUUCAAAGCAGGCCUAUGCCUGAAUACAUUAGCAUGGAAUAAUAAAAUAGGACGUCGGUUCUAUUUUGUUGGUUUCUAGAGUCGCCGUAAUGAUUAAUAGGGAUAGUUGGGGGCAUUGGUAUUGAGUCGCUAGAGGUGAAAUUCUUGGAUUGACUCAAGACCGACUAUUGCGAAAGCAUUUGCCAAGGAUGUUUUCAUUAAUCAAGAACGAAGGUUAGGGUAUCGAAAACGAUUAGAAACCGUUGUAGUGUUAGCAGUAAACUAUGCCGACUCCGAAUCGGUCGAUGCUCAUUUCACUGGCUCGAUCGGCGCGGUACGAGAAAUCAAAGUUUUUGGGUUC